rnacentral:misc_RNA from 1 species
GAUGAAGAACGCAGCGAAACGCGAUAAUUAAUGGAAAUUGCAUACGUGAGUCAUCGAGUUUUUGAACGCACAUUGCGCCUGGUGGUAUUCCAGCAGGCACGUGGGAGUGAGCGUCAUUCGUAGUCGUUGUGAAUUCAAUCGAUUCGCUAAAUGAAUGGCAAGCACGUUGAGUUGUGUACAGCACCAACAAUUUUGACCUCAUUCUCACAGGGAGACCCGCUGAACUUAAGCAUAUCAAUAAGCGGAGGA